rnacentral:tRNA from 1 species
AGGGGUAUAGCUCAGUUGGUAGAGCGGCGGUCUCCAAAACCGCAGGUCGAGGGUUCGAGCCCUUCUGCCCCUGCCA